rnacentral:tRNA from 1 species
GAGGGUAUAGCUCAGUGGUAGAGUGUGUGCUUAGCAUGCACAAGGCCCAGGGUUCAAUCCCCAGCACUUCCA